AAGCUUUGCUCGAUGUUUAUUAUUUCAGCGCAGUCUCUUUAAAUCCGGUCCGGUGGUGUGACGUCACGCCGCAGCUGACCGUGAUGAAGCGCGAUUGAGUUUAUUCAUCUCCGUGAAACACGCAGUAAAAUCCUCGUGAUAUUGACACUCUAGAGCGUGUUUUAUUUUACUUCUUUGAGUUUAUAGAGUGUGCGCUUCACAGGAUCUCCAUUUAUUCCUCAGCAUCUUGACUCACGGCCAUGAUCACCUCCACACCGCUGGAAAGCCGCGCCCCCGCCGCCACGCGCUCCUCCAGGCGCAGCGGAGCGUCUCCGGCCAAUGUCAGCCCGACCCGUAUCACGCGCCUGCAGGAGAAGGAGGACCUGCGGCAUCUCAAUGACCGCCUGGCCAACUACAUCGAGCGGGUUCGGCUGCUGGAGAAUGAGAAGUCUUCCAUGCAGCUCCUGCUGGAGGAGAAGUCGGAGACCUCGGUGCGCGAGGUGGGCAACGUGCGCCGCCUGUACGAGACGGAGCUGGCGGAUGCGCGCAAAACUCUCGACGCGACCGCGAACGAGCGGGCCAGACUACAAAUCGAGUUGACACAGCUGCAGGAAGAGCACAGAAAACUCACAGCCAGGAAUAAUAAGAAAGAGUGUGAACUGAACACUGCUGUCGGUCAUUGGCGGAACCUUGAAGCCGCUCUGAACUCUAAAGAAGCAGAUUACACAAAUCUACUGUCCACCAACCGCAGACUCGAGAAUGACAUUUCUGACCUCAAGACACAAGUGUCGAAACUGGAGUCGGCCCUGCAGAACGCCAAGAGUCAGCUCAACGCUGAGCUGCUUCGCCGUGUGGAUGCUGAAAAUCAGAUCCAGACGCUUCAGGAGCAGCUUGACUUUCAGAAGCAUCUCAGCGACCAGGAGGUGCGAGAGAUGCGCAGUCGUCACGAGAGCCGGCUGAUGGAGCUGGACACGGGCAGACAGAAAGAGUUUGAGGGUAAACUCGCUGAAGCCAUGAAACAGCUCCGAGAGGAACACGAAAGUCACAUCCAACAGUACAAAGAUGAACUGGAGAAAACCUUCGCUGCUAAGAGUGAGUUGAAGUGCAGGUCAGGUGUAGUUCAGGGCUUUGAGCGACAGGGGGCGCUGGAGAGGCAGCACGAGCCAGUUACUUUCACACACCCGGUUCCACAUCUUUCUGUUAUGCUGGAAAACGCGAAGCUGGCAGCCGUGAAGAACAGCGAUUUCGCUUCUUCAACGAGAGAGGAACUGGCGGGAACCAAACUCCGGCUGGAGGCUCAGUCUGCACAGAUCAACAUCCUCCAGAAACAGAACUCUGAGUUGGAGUCCCGGGUUCGUGAGCUGGAGCAGAUGCUGGAUCGAGAGAGACAGAUCCAUCAGCACAGACUCUCUCAGAAGGAUCAGGAGAUGGCCGACAUGAGACAGCAGAUGCAAGACCAGCUGGAGGAGUACCAGAACCUUCUAGAUGUCAAGCUCAUGCUGGAUAUGGAGAUCAACGCUUACAGGAAGAUGCUGGAGGGCGAGGAGAAGCGAUUGAAUCUUUCACCGAGUUCGCUCCAGCAGUCGACCAUCUCUCGCACCCACUCGCAUCCCGCUCGUAAAAACUGGGGAAAGAAGCGCAAGCACGAAGGCUCCAGUAGCGGCCUCUCCCCCAACUACAAGUUUUCCCAGCAUUCCUCCUCUCGAGGACAAGUGUCCAUAGAUGAGAUUGACCUGGAGGGAAAGUUCAUCAAACUCAGGAAUAAUUCUGAGAAGGAUCAAGCACUGGGCGGCUGGGUGUUGAGGAAGAGUCAGCCGGACGCACCUGAUAUCAUCUUCCAGGUCCCGUCCUCUUGUGUACUGAGUGCUGGACAGAUGCUUACGGUCUGGGCAGCAGGUGCAGUUGUGGAGCAGAACUGUGAAUGUGAUCUGGUACUGAAGACACAUGACACGUGGGGUCCGUUUGGUGAAGUCCGAGUGUCUCUGAUAAACCCAGAGAAUGAGGAAGUAGCAGAGUUCUGUCUGGUAUGUGUUCAGGGACAAGCUGAUGGAGAUCCAGACGGUGAUGAAAACAUGGUGAUGCCUGACAUUCACCUGCGACGACAGGUAACACAAAUUAAUCAGCAUAAAAUGACACUUCUAUUAUGACUUAUUUUCAUGCUGCUGUUAUCCACAACACGUGUUAUUGUUAUCGAACAAAUAGCAGGAGCUGCAGGCUUUAAUGGUGAACUGUCUCUUUAAGAAUGUGUUGCUCAGUGAGUUAAAUGAUGAAGAGCUGAUGUGUGUAUUUGUAUCUCUAUCACCUCUGUUUUGUGAAAGUCUAAAAGACGGAAAAAGAAAUGUUGCUCUCUGUCGUGAUGUGUCUCAGAGAAGACGCGUCUGCAGGUUAAAAGUCAUCAUCAGGAUGCCAGCUGUGUGGUCAUGUGAGAGACUCGGCUGUACCAUCCAGCAAGAAUUUUUAGAGGAUACGUGCGCUAACUGUCUGAACUAACUUAUUUCGUAAAUGUCCUGUCAAGAAAGUUUCGUUUUUACAUUGACUUAUUUGUUGCUGUUUGUUCUACUAAAUAA